ensembl:snoRNA small nucleolar RNA U3
AAGACUAUACUUUCAGGGAUCAUUUCUAUAGUUUCUGACUUGAGAGAUGCAUUUCUAAAGUGUUUGGUCACGCUAACCACGAUGAAGAGGCAUGACGUCCUUCUCUGAGCGCGAAGCGGAUGGAGAAUGUUGAUUAUUUUCAAUUGUUCUCUGUCAUUGAUGACCGUUCUAACUUCUUUUCGGAGAAGUUGGAGGAGAAGGACGCGUUCCGAGUGGUU